AUGGCGAGGUGGAAACACCUGUUCUCAUUCCGAACACAGAAGUUAAGCGCCUUUGCGCCGAUGGUACUCGAAAGGGGAGAGUAGGUCGUCG
rnacentral:rRNA from 1 species